CUCUAUGGACUCAUUACUAUGUGGACAAUUCAGAUUAUAACAUUGUGAGGCUGAAGAGAAACAACUUGGUUGCGAGUUUGUCAACUUUAGAAAAAGCAUUUUAUGUUAGUUUAGAUUUAAAACUCGACAGUUUUUCAGAUGGAUAUAGAAGUGUCAUUCAUUUGACAAUGGGAGGAAAUGAUUUAAUGUACGGUGAUCGAAUUCCUGGCGUUUGGAUUUUUAAUAAAAGGUUACACGUUGCUUUUGCAUUAAAAGGUCAUGAAACAUUUAAAUCUAAACCACUUUUUCUAGACGAGUGGAUAAAUGUUAAAAUAGAGCAAACUGUUGAAUCAGGGAAAGCUUAUUUUAAAAUAUUUAUUAAUCACAAUAAAGUAUAUGAAGUACAAAACUAUAACGCACGAGUAUUUACAAAUAUCGACGUAUACGCUGGAGAUCCAUGGUAUGAAGCCCAGCAUGGCUUAAUCAAAAACUUCGACGUCUGGAAUACCUGAAUUUACGGGAAUGAUGAACCGAAAAAAAGUU